CACGCAAGUAUGAAAUAGACUUGAACAUAAUUUUUCCAUUUAUGACAUAAAUAAUAGAGAAUUCUUACAUAAUUCGGCAGUAAAAAGAAAAAAUAUCCAUCUUUGUUUUUAUUUGAUAAUACAAUUUCAAAGAAAUGCAGGUUGUUGUAUUUCAUAAACACAAAUAUUGUUUUAGAUAAAACUGCAACUUUAGCUGUUAACAAAUUGAGAACUUAUUUAUCAAGCACAGAUUGUAUUUUUUUUUUCAGGCAAUAAUGGUGAUUUAGUGACCCUGUACUCCAACUUUCUUACCCUUUCUAUUCAUUUCAUAAUUUAAUGGAGUAACGGUAAAAGUCACAGCUAUUCCUGAAAAUGGGCAGAAACUAGCUGGUGUUUUUUUUUUAAUCUGACAAUCCAUACCCAGACGAAACCUCAAAGCUCCAAGGCUCAGAGCCAUUUGGUGAACAAGAUGAUCUUUAGUGUAUAUACCAGAGGUAGUCAACCUUUUAAUACCUACCACCCACUUUUGUAUCUUUGUUGAUGGUAAAAUACCUUGCCGCUAAUUAUAUUGUGUAAUUUAAAAAAAAAUGUUUUUAGAAACUAGGGUUUUGUUUUCUUUUUCAAAUAUGUACUUAAAUUUAUAUAUUUUCCCCCCUUUUUUUCUAUUCUACUUUUCUUUUUUUCUAUGUGUGUCUGUGAGGUUCGGUGUGAGAGUGAGAGUGAGAGUGAGAGUGAGAGUGAGAGUGAGAGUGAGAGUGAGAGUGAGAGUGAGAGUGAGAGUGAGAGUGAGAGUGAGAGUGGGUACUGUGCGUGUGUGUAGAAGAAAAUCUCCCCUGCCGGCCUUGGUCCACGGUGCAGAACCCACAACCACCCACCUGAAAUCCCAAACCGCCCACUAGUGGGCAGUAGGGACCAGGUUGACUACCCCUGGUAUAUAUGGUAUCAUAUUAUGGUAGUUCUUGACAAUAGGCUCAGUAAAAGGGUUUUGUAUCGGGUGGGUGUUCUAUACUAAAUAGGUGGUAGGCCAAAGAUGUGUCAUUUCAGUGAGAGAGACCUCUUGUGCCCUGAUAGGUGUACACAAUAGUGUCUCGUAUUAUUACAUAGGAUAUAAAAAAAAUAAAAAUCUGCCGAGAUUAUAUGCAAGUAUAAGAACAGAAAAUUUCGAUAUCUUGCUCGAUUACAUCGACAAAUUACACUCGCUGAGUACUAUUACCUAAUGACUGAUAAAUAAUGUGCAGUGUAUUUCUUACAAAAUACUUGUAUAACCUUAUGUACAAAGUAUAAAAUGUGUACUUUAUAUUUUUUUCCUACCACUUAUAAUUUAUGCCAUCAGCAGUAUUUUUUCUGAGGUAUCAUUUAUAAAGUAAACAUACCAUUCAUAAAUAAAUAAAAACAGCCCAAGGCAAUGUCUAUCUAAAUAAAGUUGAAAAUAAAGCUUGUUCUACAUCAUGUCAGCAUCACAGGUAGCAACAGUGUUUAAAGUUUACAAAAAACUUUUCUUUCCUGCAUUAAAAAUAAAGAAACCUAUCGAAAUGUAACUGUGACUAAGAGUUAGGUUUGACUUGCUAACUAGCAAGGGCCUGGUGUCCUACGAACUGUAAACACUGCAGUUCUGUUUCUGAUUUAGUUUAGGAUUGCCACAGUCUAUUUUGAGAAGGACUGAAUGAUUAGCAAUAAUGAUAACUUUAAAAUACUGUAUGCAAUGUAUUGGCUUUUUAUUUAUAAGUGCCAGUCUGUCAUUAUGCAUCUGUGCCUUAAAGGACCACUAUAGUGCCAGGAAAACACUUGUUUUCCUGGCACUAUAGUGCCCUGAGGGUGCCCCCACCCUCAGGGUCCCCCUCCCGCCAGGCUCUAGGGGGAGGAAGGGGUUAAACUUACCUCUUUCUCCAGCGCCGGGCGGGGGACUCUCCUCCUCCUCUCCGGCUGAAUGCGCAUGCGCAGCAAGAGCCGCACACGCAUUCAGCCACUCAUAGGAAAGCAUUCACAAUGCUUUCCUAUGGACGUUGGCGUCUUCUCACUGUGAUUUUUACAGAGAGAAGCGCGGAAACGCCUCUAGCAGCGGUCAACGAGACAGCCACUAGAGGCUGGAUUAACCCGAAUAUAAACAUAGUAGUGUCUCUGAAACUGCUAAGUUUAUAGAAGAAAGGGUUACACCUAGCUGGACCAGGCACCCAGACCACUUCAUUAAGCUGAAGUGGUCUGGGUGCCUAUAGUGGUCCUUUAACCCCUUAAGGACCAAACUUCUGGAAUAAAAGGGAAUCAUGACAUGCCACACAUGUCAUGUGUCCUUAAGGGGUUAAAGCAACACUACACUUUAAAGGGACACUAUAGUCACCAAAACAACUUUAGCUUAAUGAAGCAGUUUUGGUAUAUAGAUUAUGUCCAUACAGUCUUACUGCUCAAUUCUCUGCCAUUUAGGAGUUAAAUCCCUUUGUUUAUGAACCCUAGUCACACCUCCCUGCAUGUGACUUGCACAGCCUUCCUAAACAUUUCCUGUAAAGAGUCAUCUAAAGUUUAUCCUUCCUUUAUUGCAAGUUCUGUUCAAUUUAGAUUUUAUCCCCUGGUAUGUUAAUAGCUUGCUACACCCUGCAAGAGCCUCCUGUAUGUGAUUAAAGUACAAUUUACAGAGAAAAAGAUACAAUUGUUUAAGGUAAAUUACAUCCGAUUGAAAGUGAAACCAGUUUUUUGUGUUUUGUUUUUUUCAUGCAGGCUGUGUCAAUCAGAGUCAGGGGAGGUGUGACAUGGGCUACAGAAACAAAAUGAUUUAACUCCUAAAUGGCAGUGAAAUCUGAGAAGCAUGAUCUAUACACUAAAACUGCUUCAUUAAGCUAAAGUUGCUUAGGUGACUAUAGUGUUCCUUUAACCCCUUAAGGACCAAACUUCUGGCAUAAAAGGGAAUCAUGACAUGUCACACAUGUCAUGUGUCCAGCCACUUCAGCUUAACAAUAUGGUUUUGGGCCAAAGACUAUGUAUCUUUGCCAUGGCUGUUUUACAUUGCCACAAAAAGGAAAACCACCAUCUUUAGUGGCAGCUGGGCUGGCUACUGCCACUAGCGGCAUUUCCUCAUUUAAGAGUUCAAUGUUGCUGAACAUUGUGGCUGUUAUUCAUAGAGAAGCAUAACAUUUUGUUCUUCUCUGAGAAGCAUCUAAUUGGCUAAGCACAGUGAUGACUGCACAUGCCUUGUAUCCCCCCCAAUGUUUCUCUGAGAAGCACUGGAUUGGAUGAUUUCAGCAGUGGCUAACCAGCUACUGGGGGGAGACUGGCUAAUGCUGAAUUACAAGUGAGUAAAAAUGUUAAAAACAAUUGUUAGAUUUUACAAGCUUCAAAUCUUAAAGUAAGGAAAAUCAACAUUCAAAAUAUUUAUUUUUAAUGUCAGUGUUCCUUUAACUAUAUUACUUUGAUUUGGAAUCUCCUCAUUUACUGACCAUAGAACUCUGUGCUACAGUCUGGCCAGACCAUUUGAGAAAGACCUAUAAAUGUCACAGGUCCACAAGGGAUUACACCUUGCAGCAAUUUUUAACUUAACAUUUCUCACUCCUGUUCACACCAGGAGAGAUGAAAAGGAUCUCACAAAAUUGUAUAUACUCCAGUAUAGAAGUGUUUCCAGCUGAGGAUGCAGAAGGAAAACAUUUUUUUUUCUCCUUCUCAAAAUGUGCGAACACUUUUUGGAUUGCCUCCUGGCACCAUAACCACUACAAAUGGUAAGGUGAUUGGAGUUGUCACAAAAAUAAUAAUAAUGUGUAGUUCAGCAGUGUUAACACGUAUAUUCCUUUGCAAAAUCUGAAUUUUGAAAAUAAAGCCUACAUACAUAUUUACAGUAUUGUGCUUAUUACUUAGUGACAAAGUCAGGCAAUAGCAUUCUAUUAAAAAUUCCAAGGUGACUUCAGAUGUAGAACCAACUACAAAAUGCCAUGACUAUUUUUUUUUUUUUUACCCUUUUAUAAAAAAUAAUUUGCAUGCCGUUUAUGUGAUAAGGAGAUUUAGUUUAAUCACUUGCUAGGACGGGAUUAAUUAGAGGGAUCAUUAAAAAUGCUGUAUUAUUAAAUGGCACUGCAUUCGUUUUGCUGGCACUGGUUUUAGCAGGCAUUUUGCCUCUUAAAGUGGAUUUUUUUUUUUAUUCUGUGCAUUUUGCUUGAAUUUUAUAAAAAUAUUAAAAAAUGUUGUGCCGAACAUGAAAGAGAGAGGAUCUUGCUAAUUCUUAUGAUUCCAGCGUCCCUUGGUAAGGAGUCAUCAUUCUAUUCUCUGAAAGGUCUUGAAUGACAAUUGAUGUCAGCAGGAUUGCGCAUGUAUAGAAAGUUACAGCAAUCUUCCUGUGAAAACACUUAUUUACAGAAGCGUCAACUACACUUUGUGCGAAAAUAUAGCUCUGAUGUCUGCCAUCAAUGCCUGACGUCAGAUGUAAAUGUGAGUGCUUAUAAAACGAUAUGCUUUUUGAACCUGUCAAAUAUUUAUACUAAAUACAAAAGCAGUCUGUAUGCUCUUUAGUACAUUAUUUAAAAAAACAAACAAUGAAAGAACUCCAGAGUCAAAAUUUCCAAAACUAUAUUAACACUAGUAAUAUGUAGCUUUUACAACAAAGAUAUCUCUAUUAUCAAUUCUCAAAUCACCAGUCUGUAGACAAAAUGGUACCCAACUCAUAAAGCCGUAGUAGCUGGGGUCUAUGGUGCAAUGGAUGGGCAUAUUAGCCAGAGUCUAAACUUUUUAAAUAUACCGUAUAUAUACAUAGCAUAAUAUGUCAAUGUAAACUAGAAACACUUAAACGAACACUCUGGGCACCAUAACUCAAUGAAGUGGUUAUGGUUCAAGGAGAUUCGGUCUUACCUUAAGGGUUAAACCGAAUACAAACGGUUCAAUUCCAAAUUUGUGAAGACGGCAUCCUUUAGCGGAGCCUAAGGUUUCAAUGAUGAAACCUUUGACAUAGAAAAUAAGGUCAUACGUUUCCAAACAAAUCCAUUACACCCGUAACUCCAACAAAGAUUCAGUAUUUUAUCAUUAGAAUGUAGAUAUGGGUAUUUUUCAGUUCUAUCAGUGGCUGAGCUGAUGCAGACAAGACAGAAAUCCCAUCUAUUUGCGACAGAACCUCCUUUUAUUUGGGGACAGAGCUGUAAAUCAUUUCCCCACCAGAAUGAUUAAUUCACAAAGAGCCCAGUGGCAAAAUCUUAAAGCAAUGAGUGAAACUCGAUGACCAAACACCGCUGUCUGGGAUUUUGUCCCAAGAUGACCGCCACCACGUGUUUGUACAUACGAACGACAACCACCCAGUCGACCACUUAGAAUGUUGAGGUGCUUGUGGUUACAGUGGUGUUAGCAGAGGUUAAUGUGGUCAACAAGCGGCACACUCCGCACAUGGGUGUUCUGUCGUUCGGUAGAUUAUUCGGUAUUCGGACGGGGCAAUGUUAACAUAUUUAGUGGAUGUAUUUCACCGAACAAACAGGCGAGGGGAACAAAGAGCUGUAAAAGCCAGGGACAGGGAGUUCUGUCACACCAUAGUCUUGUCCCCAUUCUGGGUGUGGCUAAGACAGAAAUUACACUUCAUUGCCAUUGCAGAUGAAUCUGUAUGCCUAGAGUUAGUGGUAUGUAUUGGUAUGCAUGCAAGGAAGUGUGUAAUUUCUGGCUCAGUCACACCUGAAUUGGAGACUGGGCUAAAGGAACUCAGGGACCCUCACUCCGUGUUAAACUGCUUUUAACACUAGUGGUUUAACAGUGAAUAGAGGGACAGCGCCAAGGGACUUCAGGCACUAUAAUUAAUACAAUGAUACCAUGGUUCUACUGCCUUUAUUGUCCUUUUAAGACACGCCAUUGUUCUAGAUUCAAUUCAUAUCCUCACUGGAACAAAGCGGAGAAAUGUCCAAAUUCAGGAUUGCUCAUGUGUCUAGAAGCCUAGUUUUGUUCUGGCAUCCAACAUACUGAUUUAAAUAUUAACACUUAUUCAGUAGCUCCUAGAUGUUUACCAUUAACAGGAGCACCUAACGGAAACUAUUUGUACUUUUCUUAAAGUAGCUUCAGCCCAAUAUCUGCUAGGCAAUGUAAAAUGAAUAAUCCACAUCACAAGUUAUUUUGGUCAUAUCCUGCCCUUAAUCAUGCAUUUUUCAUAUGCAACUGGAUUAAUAAAUAAGCCACCUUUGUUUUUGCUCAUCCAUGCUGCUUUUCUUUUUUCAACACUACUUUAAAACACAUUAUCCCUUAAAUAAUUAAUACAGAGUUUGCUCUAAAGCCAUUUUAGGACCAGAACAAAUGUAUUUUCUGGUCUAUUAAAUGUUGUCACUAUAAUUAUUGCAAAACAAAUUAUACUACAUCUUUAACCCGAUAUCCGGCUCUAUGAUAGUGUAAUAUAUAACAAAGACAAAUUUUGGGCAGCCCAGCUGCUUUGAAUAUGAACUGCCACAAUGCUUAACAAGCUAUUUUUUAAAUUUUUGAAGAAACGUAUACACAGUUUAUCUGCCAGUACAAAAUAUUUUAUCACAGAUACGUAGCCUGUUGCAGCCCAGCUGCUAUGGACUUCAAUUCUCACACUGGCCAAUGCAUAUAACCAUUAAUAAUUUUCUCACCUUUCUAUUGCGAUUUCUAAUAACGUUACAAAUCACUAUAAAAAAAAAAAAAGUUGAUUUACAGAGAUUAACCAGCAAUUCCCUAUAUUUAGAAAGAAAAAUAAAUAAAUCUUUAAUGAGAAUAAAACAGUUUUCUUUUAUAUUUUUAACUUUACAGAUUAUAUACAAAAUAAAGAUUUUCCGAACCCGUCCUUUUUUGAGGAAUUAAACAGAUUGAAGGACGCAUAAAUCAGACUAUAAUCUGGCAUAUUGCUUGUUACUAUGCAUAGGAACUAUUGGAAUAUCAUAGUUGAUUAUGCACGUUAUAUGGCAUAAUCGAUAGAGCUUUGGUCAUGCACAUAAGCCUCAAAUAUGGGACAUUACACAUAAGUCUACGACCGCAUUCUGCAAUGAAGGAGCUAUUUACAUGCAGGUUAUUCACACUAAAAUUGAGAUUUGAAUAGAUCUACUUAAUAACAAAAUGAAACUAAUUAUUUUAGUUCUUGUCUGAAGUAUCUAUUGGGCCAGUUUUAUAUCCGAAUUAUAUUAUAUAUUAAUGUUUGUAAUCUGUUUGCAGAAGAAUGUGGUAAUCGUGAAAGGUUGUAUCUAUCUCACGACUUUUAGAUUUUGACAGAAUGUACAGAAAUAUAAUGUUUACAUUAUGAACAUGAAGCUGAUUAUACCUUCCAGGGAGGUACAAUGAGAUCUGCUUCUCUUUAGCAGUGUUGACUAAAGCCUUGGAUCACCUUGUUGGGCUAAGGGUGAAAAUAACUUUACACCUAUCAACAGGACUCUGAAUUCAAAUACUCCAUGAUUUGCACAUCAGUUUUCCUGGCACUGCAGGAUCCUGCAGUGCCCCAUCCCAUGUUGCUGAAGGGGUUAAAUCCCCUUCAGUGACUUACCAGAAUCCAGUGCCGAUGUCCCUCGGCGCUGGGUCAGGCUCCUCCCCUGCCGUCAGCCAGCGGGGAAGACCUAAUGCGCAUGCAAUGCAAUCCCAAUGCUUUAGAAUGGGGAUUCCGGCGACGCUGGAGGUUCUCAUGCAUAUCAUGAGGACGUCCAGCGUAGUUUAAAACACUUUUCAUGUUCAAAGAACACAGAAGUCCCUCUAGUGGCUGAUUGAUAGACAGCCACUAGAGGAGGAGUUAACCCUGCAAAGUAAUUAUUGCAGUUUAUAAAAACUGCAAUAAUUACACUUGCAGGGUUGAGGGUGGUGUGAGUUGGCACCCAGAAGUAGUCUGGGUGCCUGGAGUGUCCCUUUAAGAAGGAUGUAUAAUGGAGCUUUGGAUUAACUGAUUUGCACAUCACCUCGGGUACUUAUAGUAAAGGGACAUACAUUACUUGAUGAUUAUUUUUUUUAAACAAAUGUAAAAACCAAAAUAAAGCAAGGAAAACUUUACAAAGUAUGAAAUAAACGUUUCUAAUCUUGGUCAUAUUGCAUCGUUGGGCAUGCCUCUCAGCUAGAAGAGUUUCCCCUUAUCCAGGCAUGUCAGUUACAUACCACUCCACCAAUGACAGAAACAGGGAAUUAUUGUGCAGCAGCAAAUAAGGGAAACCCAACACCGGAGACUGAUCUUCUCCCCCUGUCAGGAAGUUACAAGGUGAAAAGAUCUUCCAAUUGCACACAUGUAAACCUGUCAGGCAUGCCCAAUGCACUUUUUCCAGCAUUCCUAAGGAUAGGACACUGAUUGGUCAGAUCAGUACCCCCCCCAGCACCCCUGUAGUUGGUGUGGAAAGCAUAAGGAAGAAGAAGCGGGUAAAUAUGAAAGAGGGGAAAAGACCGCCUGCACAGUUAAGGCUUUUGAAUGAGAUUGUUAAAGUAAUGAAUGUUCCUUUAAAUAGGCAUUGGCAAGCAUAUGUGCUUAAUCUUAAUCUUAGUGAUGUGCUUAAUCUUAAGCCUACAAAAGUGCAAAAUAAAAGCUUUUUGAAUACUUAUGGAAUUAAACUAAUUGAUCACAAGAUGCCCUACACCAGACCGCACCUCCCCUUUUUCCCACAAGACCCCUUUCAUUUGGGAUAUAAAGAAGCGGCAAAACAUGACCAAGUCUCCGUAAAGAGCAGAACUUUCAGAUGUUCCAUAGAUUAUUGGAGACCUCUGUUUUAGUUGCUUCUUUCCCAAUGAAGGUGGUAGCAACUUGCAAUGACCUCUACAAUCAUAAACACAAUACAACUGUGAUCGUUAUACAAUUAAUAUUCAUAAUUUAAUAUUACUUGGUGUCAGUGCAUUCUGCUCAUGCACUUGUACUGAAAAGUGCCAGUAAUUAAAGGACCACUAUAGUGCCAGGAAAACAAACUGAUUUUCACAGUGCGAAGCGCGGAAGCGCCUCUGGCGGCUGUCGGUGAGACAGCCACUAGAGGCUGGAUUAACACUAAUGUAAACAUGUUUACAGCUGCAGGUUUUAAAACUAGAGGGACCUGGCACCCAGACAACUUCAUUGAGCUGAAGUGGUCUGGGUGCUUAUAGUGGUCCUUUAGCUAACUAAACACAUGAACAGUAUUUACGGAAUACUUUUUAGGCAUUUGAGCCUCCAUUCGGUCUUUUAAAGAUAUGUUCCAACAUAUAACUUAUUGUGGCUUGUGUUCCCUAGAAUGUAAGUUUAGCUAGAACUUUUUUUGGGGGGAGGGGGGGAAGAGAGAGAGAGAGAGAGAGAGAGAGAGCGCGCGAGUUCUUGCCCUUUCUAAGAAGUGCCCAUGAUGUCAUGAGUACUCUUAUCAAUUUGUUAAAAAGUUUAAUUUUUCCACUUGUCCCAUCAUUAAUUCUACUUAAUGUUAAAUUAACAUUUCAGGCACUACAUGUUUUUAAAAGAAAUCAUGGUGAGGAUUUUGAUGUGAUCCGUAGCAAGUAACAUACAGUUAAAAAUUUCCCAUAAUCCCUGUGUAACAAUUUCUCGUUGUGCAUAAGAGAUGGUUGAUAAAGCUGCAGUUACUCUCAG